ensembl:snRNA U6 U6 spliceosomal RNA
GUGUUUCCUUUUUGGCAGCACCUAUACUGAAAUUGGAAUGAUACAGAGUCAACUAGCCUGGCCCCGUGCAAGGAUGACACGCACAUCUGCUAAAUGUUCCACAUCUUU